rnacentral:lncRNA from 7 species
UAGGUGGAAUGACUACUCUGCUGAGAUGAGCUCUUAAUUAAUGCACAGAGAUCCUGAAAGUCCCACCUCUCACCAGUAAUGAUUGACAUCCAAGGAUACAUAAAUUACACUAAUUGAGCUUUCUAUUUCUACAUUUUUCUGCAGCCAACUCAUCAGAAAAGGUAGCAGGUAUACAGAGCGCAUCCUGGUCUACACUUGUGUCUGCCAUAAAGGAAGGCAAUUGAAUAACUUCCUUUCCCCUUCUGACAGAAAACUAUUUUCAGAGUAAAUAUGCGUCUAAAAGCUGUGACUCUCUGGGCUUCACUAAAAGAUGUUCAGAACAUUGGUAUUGUUCUUUUGUAUAACAUAUGCAAAAACAAGGCGAAGGGAGAUUUCUUAGUCCUUUUCUCUGUGACAGUAAAACUCAAACGCAGCACAGAAUUAUUGAAGCAGUUUGGAAAGGAAUUAACUAGAAGAAUAAGAAUUUAAUCUCUGUUGUUGUUUUAUCUACUAAUGUAUAACCUGAAUGAACUGAUAGCGGACUAAAUGCAUUAGUGGCAUUUAAAUAUAUUCUUGUCCUACGCUUGUACUUCAGUUUUUGCUCUCAAACAAAUAUGGCUUUUCAUUCAUUCUCUGAAAGACACUUUUAUCCUUUAAUUUCUAUUCUUCAAUAAAAUGUCUUCAUAUAUUGUUCUCAUAUAAAUCUAUAAUAUUAUUAAGAGCUAAAGAAAAAUAAAAAGCUGCUUGAAUUCCCACCUUUCUAGUAAAAUAUCUUCACAUAUUGUUUUCAUAUGAAUGUGCUGUUUUAAGGGCCAAUGCAAAUAAAUAAAU